UCCCGUCUAGCUCAGUCGGUAGAGCGCAAGGCUCUUAACCUUGUGGUCGUGGGUUCGAGCCCCAAGGUGGGCG
rnacentral:tRNA from 1 species